rnacentral:precursor_RNA from 1 species
UUAAGUAGGUUUUGCUGGACUUGUGUUUUUACUGAAGCCUUGCAAAGCUUACUUAUGU